rnacentral:lncRNA from 1 species
UAAUGUUUAAAAAUUAUUUCUUGAUUUCUUCUCUUUGGAUUCAAAAAAAACGUGUGCUACUGUUAAUUUGUUGUUGAUAUAUAUGCUGAAUUUUUAGGUCUUAAGAUAACUUGUUAGGUUAUCUUUUCCAGAUUUUAUGGGAUGAUUGUUCUGCGGAUUUAAAGUUGUUUGGAUUAGUGUUUAUUAUGGCCUCUUAUGCAAAGCUUUAAUCUGAGCAUUUUAUUAGUUAUAUUUCAGUUUUCUAUAAGCG